GACGAACGCUGGCGGCGUGCUUAACACAUGCAAGUCGAACGGUGAAGCGCCUUCCUUUUUGGUGGGUGUGGAUGAGUGGCGAACGGGUGAGUAACACGUGAGUAACCUGCCCCCUUCUUCUGGAUAACCGCAUGAAAGUGUGGCUAAUACGGGAUAUUCUGGGUCUGUCGCAUGAUGGGUCUGGGAAAGAUAUUGUUUCGGUGGGGGAUGGGCUCGCGGCCUAUCAGCUUGUUGGUGGGGUGAUGGCCUACCAAGGCGGUGACGGGUAGCCGGCCUGAGAGGGUGGACGGUCACACUGGGACUGAGACACGGCCCAGACUCCUACGGGAGACAGCAGUGGGGAAUAUUGCACAAUGGGCGCAAGCCUGAUGCAGCGACGCCGCGUGAGGGAUGGGGGCCUUCGGGUUGUGAACCUCUUUCGCCAGUGAAGCAGGCCUGCCUCGUUUGUGGGUGGGUUGACGGUAGCUGGAUAAGAAGCGCCGGCUAACUACGUG
rnacentral:rRNA from 1 species